GCCUAACACAUGCAAGUCGAGCGGCAACAUGGGGAGUAGCAAUACUUUCUGAUGGCGAGCGGCGGACGGGUGAGGAAGACGUAGGAACCUGCCCUUUAGAGAGGGAUAACCAAUGGAAACGUUGGCUAAUACCGAAUGCACUCUGAGGAGGAAAGCUGCCCGAAAGGGUGGCGCUAGAGGAGGGGCCUGCGGCCGAUGAGCUAGUUGGUACGGUAAGAGCGUACCAAGGCGAAGAUCGGUAACUGGGCUGAGAGGACGGCCAGUCAAACGGGGAAUGAGACACGGCCCAGACUCCGACGGGAGGCAGCAGUGGGGAAUAUUGGACAAUGAGGGCAACCCUGAUCCAGCGAUGCCGCGUGGGUGAAGAAGGCCUUCGGGUUGUAAAGCCCUUUAGGUUGGGAAGAAAGGUGUGGGGUGAUAAGCCCCAUGCUGUGGCGGUACCGACAGAAUAAGCACCGGCAAACUCUGUGCCAGCCGCCGCCGUAA
rnacentral:rRNA from 1 species